GAGAGUAUAGUUCAGUGGUAGAGUGCAUGCAUAGAAUGCAUGAGGUCCUGGGUUCGAUCCCCAGUCCAUUAA
rnacentral:tRNA from 1 species